UGAGAGGAAACCACUAUUUGUUUUGCCACCCAGGGUGAAAAAGGAAGAGAUCAAACCCUCUUCACUGGCCUAGGAGCAACCAGGAACACUUGAAAUAAGAAGGAAGAGGCUAGAAGAUUUGUUGCAGGUACCCACCAGCCUCCUCCUUGACGGUCUCGGGCUCCACUUGGACCUCGCUGCUGGCCGGCAAGGAGAUCUCCUCGACCUGUGCAUCCAGAGUAGACUGGGCAGCUCGCCGGCGGGCGCUUCCCCGGCUAGUCACUUUCCGCUUUUUGUCAGCUUUGCUGGACAUCACGCUGCCACAGGCAUUGAUCGUUAUGAGUCUCAGACUUGAAGGAUUUGUACUUUGCUCCAAGGAAAAUCGUUCUAUUAGGCCAACACAUCAACUGAAC